rnacentral:rRNA from 1 species
ACUACGGGGGGCAGCAGUAGGGAAUAUUGCUCAAUGGGGGAAACCCUGAAGCAGCAACGCCGCGUGGAGGAUGAAGGUUUUCGGAUUGUAAACUCCUUUUGUUAGAGAAGAUAAUGACGGUAUCUAACGAAUAAGCAACGGCUAACUCCGUGCCAGCAGCCGCGGUAAUACGGAGGGUGCAAGCGUUACUCGGAAUCACUGGGCGUAGAGAGCGCGUAGGCGGGAUAGCAAGUCAGAUGUGAAAUCAUAUGGCUUAACCAUAGAACUGCAUUUGAAACUGUUAUUCUAGAGUAUGGUAGAGGGAGGUGGAAUUCGUGGUGUAGGGGUAAAAUCCGUAGAGAUCAAGAGGAAUACUCAUUGCGAAGGCGACCUGCUAGAACAUAACUGACGCUGAUGCGCGAAAGCGUGGGGAGCAAACAGGAUUAGAUACCCGAGUAGUC